rnacentral:misc_RNA from 1 species
CCGGAAUAUUAUCAAACACAAGCAUUUGCUCGCCGUAGAAUAUGGUCAGCUGGGGCUUCUGCUCGGCUGGUACAACGGCGGGGAUGAGGCUGGGGUGCUGGGGAAACAGGUCCAAGGGCUGGCGGUCUGAGGCGACGCCACCAAUUCCUGCCUCUGUUUCGGCCGAAACGUCAAGCUCGGGAAGAAGGCUCACGGUGGUUGUCGGCCAGGCCACUAAGGCGAGACG